CUAUGGCUGGAAAGUCAUGGCGGAAGGAG
rnacentral:ncRNA from 1 species